rnacentral:snoRNA from 1 species
AAUACUUGUUUGUGUGUGUUUAAUUCAUAGACAAAGACUUAUAGACAGGUGUGAAAAGUAAAUCCUCUUUUGCAACCCAAAAUUCAUUGUUCAGUACGAGUUUUGAUACAUACCUAAGUUUAAA